rnacentral:rRNA from 1 species
AACGCUAGCUACAGGCUUAACACAUGCAAGUCGAGGGGCAGCAUGGUCUUAGCUUGCUAAGGCCGAUGGCGACCGGCGCACGGGUGAGUAACACGUAUCCAACCUGCCGUCUACUCUUGGACAGCCUUCUGAAAGGAAGAUUAAUACAAGAUGGCAUCAUGAGUCCGCAUGUUCACAUGAUUAAAGGUAUUCCGGUAGACGAUGGGGAUGCGUUCCAUUAGAUAGUAGGCGGGGUAACGGCCCACCUAGUCUUCGAUGGAUAGGGGUUCUGAGAGGAAGGUCCCCCACACUGGUACUGAGACACGGACCAGACUCCUACGGGAGGCAGCAGUGAGGAAUAUUGGUCAAUGGGCGAGAGCCUGAACCAGCCAAGUCGCGUGAAGGAAGAAGGAUCUAUGGUUCGUAAACUUCUUUUGCAGGGGAAUAAAGUGCAGGACGUGUCCUGUUUUGUAUGUACCCUGAGAAUAAGGAUCGGCUAACUCCGUGCCAGCAGCCGCGGUAAUACGGAGGAUCCGAGCGUUAUCCGGAUUUAUUGGGUUUAAAGGGUGCGUAGGUGGUUUAAUAAGUCAGCGGUGAAAGUUUGCAGCUUAACUGUAAAAAUGCCGUUGAAACUGUUAGACUUGAGUGUAAAUGAGGUAGGCGGAAUGCGUGGUGUAGCGGUGAAAUGCUUAGAUAUCACGAAGAACUCCGAUUG